AUUGAACGCUGGCGGCAGGCCUAACACAUGCAAGUCGAACGAGUGGCGGACGUGUGAGUAAUGUCUGUGAAACUGCCCGAUGGAGGGGGAUAACUACUGGAAACGGUAGCUAAUACCGCAUACCAUCGGAUGUGCCCAGAUGGGAUUGGCUAGUUGGUGGGGUAACGGCUAACCACGGCGACGAUCCCUCGCGGGUCUGAGAGGAUUACCAGCCACACUGGAACUGAGACACGGUCCAGACUCCUACGGGAGGCAGCAGUGGGGAAGAUUGCACAAUGGGCGCAAGCCUGAUGCAGCCAUGCCGCGUGUAUGAAGAAGGUCUGCGGGUUGUAAAGUACUUUCAGCGGGGAGGCGUUACUGGCAGAAGAAGCACCGGCUAACUCCGGGCCAGCAGCCGCGGUAAUAC
rnacentral:rRNA from 1 species